UACGGGGGGGGCAAGCGUUGUUCGGAAUUACUGGGCGUAAAGGGCUCGUAGGCGGCCAACUAAGUCGGAUGUGAAAUCCCCAGGCUCAACCUGGGAACUGCAUCCGAUACUGGAUGGCUUGAAUCCGGGAGAGGGAUGCAGAAUUCCAGGUGUAGCGGUGAAAUGCGUAGAUAUCUGGAGGAAUACCGGUGGCGAAGGCGGCAUCCUGGACCGGCAUUGACGCUGUGGAGCGAAAGCUAGGGGAGCAAACGGG
rnacentral:rRNA from 1 species